CUUCUCUUUGUGUGGGUUUAAACUAUAACAAGCCAUACAUGUCUAGAAGGUACAGAAGAUAUUGCCAAGAUAUUCACAAUCAAUUAAUUUAUCCAAGCACAGUCCAAAUUACCAUCAGUGGGUGGAAGCAUCUUGGUUAUUAAAUUACCUGCAGCAAUUCCAAACAAUGUCAGCAACAAUGUGUAAAUAUCCGAAAAGGUGCGUGGGAGGGCAGGCAAGGAGGAUAGAAGCAGCGGGAUGAAGAUACUUGUCAAAGAAUUAGUAAGGAGAAUGUCAAAAUUUGAUACUUCACUUGCCAAGGACCUCUCCUACGUAUUUUAACCUUUUCACUUCUAGCUCAGGCUAAAACCCAGUAAUGCAAAAUUGGAGAAGGAAUAAAGUAAAU